GAAAUGCGAUAAGUAAUGUGAAUUGCAGAAUUCAGUGAAUCAUCGAAUCUUUGAACGCAGCUUGCGCUCCUUGGUAUUCCUUGGAGCAUGCCUGUUUGAGUAUCAUGAAAUCUUCAAAGUAAAUCUUUUGUUAACUCAAUUGGUUUCUACUUUGGUAUUGGAGGUCUUUGCAGCUUCACACCUGCUCCUCUUUGUUCAUUAGCUGGAUCUCAGUGUUAUGCUUGGUUCCACUCGGCGUGAUAAGUUAUCUAUCGCUGAGGACACUGUAAAAGGUGGCCAAGGUAAAUGCAGAUGAACCGCUUCUAAUAGUCCAUUGACUUGGACAAUACUUUUAUGAUCUGAUCUCAAAUCAGGUAGGAUUACCCGCUGAACUUAAGC
rnacentral:misc_RNA from 1 species